rnacentral:rRNA from 1 species
UACGUAGGGUGCAAGCGUUGUCCGGAAUUAUUGGGCGUAAAGAGCUCGUAGGCGGUUUGUCGCGUCUGCUGUGAAAACUCGGGGCUUAACCCCGGACCUGCAGUGGGUACGGGCAGACUAGAGUGCGGUAGGGGAGACUGGAAUUCCUGGUGUAGCGGUGAAAUGCGCAGAUAUCAGGAGGAACACCGGUGGCGAAGGCGGGUCUCUGGGCCGUAACUGACGCUGAGGAGCGAAAGCAUGGGGAGCGAACAGG